rnacentral:lncRNA from 1 species
UGGCAUGAGUAUAUGUGUCUACAGCAGUAACCGCUACCUGCACGACUGUUGACAGCUGAGUCAUGGUGACAUAACGAUAGUGAACAAAGUCUAAUCACAACUCAGCAAACAGUUAUUCGACGUUGUGCAGGCGACUACACGGGGAAGUGCGCUGGGUAAACUCCAGGAUUUGUCUGUUGUUCCAUUCAGUCUUACACUGACAGGCUAUGCAGUAAACUACAGGGCAAAAUGUCAUCUCGGUUACUGAAGACCAUUUGGGGGACCGUGGCUGUACUGUUGAGGUUUGUGACGAUAGUCACUCUCGCUAACAUCGGAAGAAUAUUUCCUCCGGUCAAACGACUGUUUACUAAUUUUCUGGACAAUAACCUAGCCGAUACCUCGGUGAAUGGAACCGACGUGUACGAGUCGAUCCUCAAGGUGAAAAACUGGAAACUGAUUCUAGAAGAAUGGUUACUGGAUGCAGGCUCCCAUCCUGAAGAGAAGUGUAGAGCCCCCGACGCAGUUGUCUGGUCAGCAGACGGCAAAACCAAACAUCGUCUGCUGGACUUCAUGAAGAAGGGGCGCCCUCUGGUUCUCAACUUUGGAAGCUGUAGCUGACCUCCUUUUAUGGCCAAACUGGCCAAGUUCAACGACAUUGUUCAAAAGUAUGGACAUAUCGCUGACUUUCUUCUUAUUUACAUACAGGAAGCCCACCCAACCGACGGAUGGAAUUUGAAUAAUAAUAAGUACCAAAUUGAAACCCCCCAAAGUAUGGACGACCGAGUAGAGGCGGCCGAGAUGCUAAGUGACGAGGAUUUAAGAUGCCCCCUAAUUCUGGAUGACUUAACAGAUAAUGCUUGCAAGAAGUACCUUUCCCUCCCAGAGCGGCUGUACAUUAUCCAAGAUGGCGUGAUUGUGUUAGCUGGAGGAAGAGGGCCGGGCAGAUACAGUACACAAAUAGUGGACGACUGGCUCAGCGCCUACAGAGGGCGCUAGUUGAAACAUGCGCACUCCUACGUCUAUACCAUUGUUGAUUAUGCUUGGCGGCGUGGAUCAUUGGAGGUCCGACAUAGUGUGGUUCUUCAGAUUGCCUCUGAACCGAACAUAUUUUACAGAAAAUACAGUUCCUAAAUUAUAUUCAUAAAAUAAUGUGAAUAGAAAACUGAAACUGUAGUAAUCUAGACUUGCCACAUAUUCUAGACUUGCAUUGGUAUAUUUGUUUCAGAGUCUGUAUGACAGACUAGCCGCUCGGAUAUCUUUGGAAUAUUGGUAGCUGCGGUGUCAUACACUCAGCAAUAAGACUGCAGUUUAAACAAUACCUAUUAUGCAGGCUUCAUGAACUUAAAAAGCUCAUAGCUGUGCUUCUGUACGCUUUCUGAUGUUAGUUGACAGCACCGCGUAUGACCACGUGACCGGAAAUACUGGGGUCACGUGUGAUGUCAGGAGGGCUGUCACCUAGGAUCACAAGGUGUAAAGGAUUAUCUAGUACUGUACCUUUACAGGAUAGAGUGUACCAAAGUAUCAAAUAGGAACCGCCCAAAGUAUGGACGACAGAUUAGAGGCGGCCAUGGUGCUAAGUGACGAGAAUUUAAGAUGCCCCCCAGUUGUGUUAGUUGGAGGAAGAGGGCCGCACAAAUACAAUACGCAGAUAGUGGACGACUGGCUCAGCGCCUACAGAGGGCGCUAGUUGAAACAUAAGCACUCCUACAUCUAGUUUCUUUUUACAGAUCCCAGCGCAUAAUAUUUAACAACUCAUUCCAUUCUCAGCGCUCGGCUGAAGUCAAGAGCUUUGUAGGUGCCUUGAAGGAUGAUUUUAUUUAAUCUCAAUCCGAUUAUUUCAGGUUGUCUUCCUAAAUCUCUCUUCGCUAGAUCAGCAUAUACCAUUCUUGGUUAUGCUUGGCGGCAUGGAUCAUUUGAGGUCCGACAUCGUGUGGUUCUUCAGACUGUCUUCAGGACGUUCGGUUGACGAACGCCUGGUCUCUGAAACGAAUAUACUUUACAGAAGAAAAACAGUUCCUAAAUUAUAUACAUAAACUAUAUUCAAAAGGGGCCAAGAGACUUUCAUCAUUUUCAGAAACUGAAACUGAAGUAAUCUAGACUUGCCACAUAUUCCAGACUUCGGGUAUCACUGGAAUAUAGGUAACUGCGGUGUCACACACAAUAAGCAAUAAGGCUGCAGUUUAAACAAUACCUAUUAUGCAGGGUUCAUCAACUUAAAAGGCUUACAGAUGUGUCUUCUCUACGCUUUCUGAUGUUAGUUGACAGCACCGCGUAUGACCACGUGAUCGGAAAUACUGGGGUCACGUGUGAUGUCAGGAGAGCUGUCACCUAGGAUCACAAAGUCCAAACGAUUAUCUAGUAAUAUACCUUUACAGGAUAAUGUGUACAUCCACUAACAUGUAAAUACUGUUUAACAUGUGAAUGGUAUUAAAAUUCAGAAGUCCCCAAA